rnacentral:rRNA from 1 species
CCUACGGGUGGCAGCAGUGAGGAAUAUUGGUCAAUGGACGCAAGUCUGAACCAGCCAAGUAGCGUGCAGGAUGACGGCCCUCCGGGUUGUAAACUGCUUUUAGUUGGGAAUAAAAUGGGGCUCGUGAGCCCCGUAUUGUAUGUACCAUCAGCAAAAGGACCGGCUAAUUCCGUGCCAGCAGCCGCGGUACUACGGAAGGUCCGGGCGUUAUCCGGGUUUAUUGGGUUUAAAGGGGGCGUAGGCCGGCUUUUAAGUCAGCUGUGAAAGUCCGCGGCUCAACCGUGGGAACUGCCUUUGAAACUGGCAAACUGGAGUGUGUGAGAGGAUAGUGGAAUUCCAGGUGUAGGAGUGAAAUCCGUAGAUAUCUGGAGGAACAUCAGUGGCGAAGGCGACUAGCUGGAACAUAACUGACGCUGAGGAGCGAAAGCGUGGGUAGCAAACAGGAUUAGAUACCCCAGUAGUC